GAUGAACGCUGGCGGCGUGCCUAAUACAUGCGAGUCGAGCGAACAGACGAGGAGCUUGCUCCUCUGACGUUAGCGGCGGACGGGUGAGUAACACGUGGAUAACCUACCUAUAAGACUGGGAUAACUUCGGGAAACCGGAGCUAAUACCGGAUAAUAUAUUGAACCGCAUGGUUCAAUAGUGAAAGACGGUUUUGCUGUCACUUAUAGAUGGAUCCGCGCCGCAUUAGCUAGUUGGUAAGGUAACGGCUUACCAAGGCGACGAUGCGUAGCCGACCUGAGAGGGUGAUCGGCCACACUGGAACUGAGACACGGUCCAGACUCCUACGGGAGGCAGCAGUAGGGAAUCUUCCGCAAUGGGCGAAAGCCUGACGGAGCAACGCCGCGUGAGUGAUGAAGGUCUUCGGAUCGUAAAACUCUGUUAUUAGGGAAGAACAAAUGUGUAAGUAACUAUGCACGUCUUGACGGUACCCAAUCAGAAAGCCACGGCUAACUACGUG
rnacentral:rRNA from 1 species